rnacentral:rRNA from 1 species
CCUANGGGCGGCAGCAGCGAGGAAUCUUGGGCAAUGGGCGAAAGCCUGACCCAGCGACGCCGCGUGAGGGACGAAGGCCUUCGGGUCGUAAACCUCUUUUGUGAGGGAAGAAGUUCUGACGGUACCUCACGAAUAAGCCACGGCUAACUACGUGCCAGCAGCCGCGGUAAUACGUAGGUGGCGAGCGUUGUCCGGAUUUACUGGGCGUAAAGGGCUUGUAGGCGGUUCGUUAAGUCCGGUGUGAAAUCUCCCGGCCCAACUGGGAGGGGCCAUCGGAUACUGGCGAACUGGAGGCGGGCAGAGGAAAGCAGAAUUCCCGGUGUAGCGGUGAAAUGCGUAGAUAUCGGGAGGAAUACCAGUGGCGAAGGCGGCUUUCUGGGCCUGUCCUGACGCUGAGGAGCGAAAGCGUGGGGAGCAAACCGGAUUAGAUACCCUGNUANUC